rnacentral:rRNA from 1 species
GAACUGAAGAGUUUGAUCAUGGCUCAGAUUGAACGCUGGCGGCAGGCCUAACACAUGCAAGUCGAGCGGAUGAAGGGAGCUUGCUCCUGGAUUCAGCGGCGGACGGGUGAGUAAUGCCUAGGAAUCUGCCUGGUAGUGGGGGAUAACGUCCGGAAACGGGCGCUAAUACCGCAUACGUCCUGAGGGAGAAAGUGGGGGAUCUUCGGACCUCACGCUAUCAGAUGAGCCUAGGUCGGAUUAGCUAGUUGGUGGGGUAAAGGCCUACCAAGGCGACGAUCCGUAACUGGUCUGAGAGGAUGAUCAGUCACACUGGAACUGAGACACGGUCCAGACUCCUACGGGAGGCAGCAGUGGGGAAUAUUGGACAAUGGGCGAAAGCCUGAUCCAGCCAUGCCGCGUGUGUGAAGAAGGUCUUCGGAUUGUAAAGCACUUUAAGUUGGGAGGAAGGGCAGUAAGUUAAUACCUUGCUGUUUUGACGUUACCAACAGAAUAAGCACCGGCUAACUUCGUGCCAGCAGCCGCGGUAAUACGAAGGGUGCAAGCGUUAAUCGGAAUUACUGGGCGUAAAGCGCGCGUAGGUGGUUCAGCAAGUUGGAUGUGAAAUCCCCGUGCUCAACCUGGGAACUGCAUCCAAAACUACUGAGCUAGAGUAC